GCCGCUAUACCCAUUUUAGUUCAUGAGGCCCAGCUCACUAUACACUUUUUAUUUCAGCGCCUCUCAGAAACCCUAGUUACAUGCCUCUCAAUUCUCACGCCUCUCCUUCCCCCUCCCCCCCCCCCUCUCUCUCUCUCUCUCUACACCAACAACGACAUCUGAACACCGCCAACUCCCUAGUCACAUCCAGCUCAACGGCGUAGUGAAUCUCCGUCGAACACCGCCAACUCCCUCUCUCUCUCUCUCUUCGUUGUUUCCUGAGGAAUCUCCGUCGAACACCGCCGCUUCAAACACCAACAACGAUGCGUCUUUCUCCUCACCCUCAAACUAUCUCUCCUUACCCUCAAACUCUCUCUCUCCGGCGACUUCUGAACAACGAUGAACUCAAUCGACAACGACGAACUCUGAACAACGACGAACUCUGAACAACGACGAACUCGAUCGACGAACUCUCUCUCUCCGGCGAACAGGAAAUUGAAGUUGAAGUUACGAACAGGAAAUUGACAAGAAAUUGAAGUUGAAGUUACGAACAGGAAAUUGAAGUUACUUUCUUUUUUAGAUCUCUGAUUUUUUAUAUUAUUUUGUGUUCGAGUUGUAAAUUAUAGAAUCUUGGUGGUUUAAUGUUUUGUGUUGGAGUUGUAAAUUAUAAAAUUAUUGAAUUUUGUUGGUAUAUAUUUUGUUGUGUUCAAUCCUU